AGUCGAACGGCAGCACGGACUUCGGUCUGGUGGCGAGUGGCGAACGGGUGAGUAAUGUAUCGGAACGUGCCUAGUAACGGGGAUAGCUACGCGAAAGCGUAGCUAAUGCCACAUACGCCCUUCGAGGAAAAGCGGGGACCUUCGGGCCUCGCACUAUUAGAGCGGCGAUAUCGGAUUAGCUAGUUGGUGGGGUAACGGCUCACCAGGCGACGAUCCGUAGCUGGUUUGAGAGGACGACCAGCCACACUGGGACUGGAACUGGCCCCAGACUCCUACGGGAGGCGCUGGUGAUUUGGACUGUGGGGGAAACCUGAUCCAGCCAUCCCGCGUGUGCGAUGAAGGCCUUCGGGUUGUAAGCACUUUUGGCAGGAAAGAAACGGCACGGGAUAAUACCCGUGCAGCUGACAGUACCUGCAGAAUAAGCACCGGCUAACUACGUGCCAGCAGCCGCGGUAAUACGUAGGGUUCAUUAAUCGCGGAUUACUGGCAAGCGUGCGCAGGCGAGUUGAAAGAAAGAUAUUGAAAUCCCAGAGCUUAGCACGGAACUGCAUUUUUAACUACCGAGCUGAAGUAUUGUCAGAGAGGUGGAAUUCCGCGUGUAGCAGUGAAAUGCGUAGAUAUGCGGAAGACACCGAUGGCGAAGGCAGCCUCCUGGGAUAACACUGACGCUCAUGCACGAAAGCGUGGGAGCAAACAGGAUUACGAUCCCUGGUAGUCACCUAAACGAUGUCAACUGGCUGUUGGAAGAACCGGGCCUUGGUAGCGCAGCUAACGCGCGUGAAGUUGACCGCCUGGGAGUACGGUCGCAAGACAAAAAAACUCAAAGGAAUUGACGGGGACCCGCACAAGCGAGUGGAUGAUGUGGAUUAAUUCGAUGCAACGCGAAAAACCUUACCUACCUUGACAUGUCUGGAAUCCCGAAGAGAUUUGGGAGUGCUCGCAAGAGAACCGGAACACAGGUGCUGCAUGGCUGUCGUCAGCUCGUGUCGUGAGAUGUUGGGUUAAGUCCCGCAACGAGCGCAACCCUUGUCGUGAGUUGCUACGAGGAGCCUCUAAUGAGACUGCGGUGACAAACCGGAGGUGGGGAUAACGUCAAGUCCUCAUGGCCCUUAUGGGUAGGGCUUCACACGUCAUACAAUGGUCGGGACAGAGGGUCGCCAACCCGCGAAAGGGGAGCCAAUCCCAGAAACCCGAUCGUAGUCCGGAUCGCAGUCUGCAACUCGACUGCGUGAAGUCGGAAUCGCUAGUAAUCGCGGAUCAGCAUGUCGCGGUGAAUACGUUCCCGGGUCUUGCCACCACGCACCGCCUGCGUCACACCUACAGGAGUGGGUUUUACAGAAGCUAGUUAGCCUAAUAUGCAGGAGGGCGAUUACCACGGUAGGAUUCUUGACUGGGUGUAGUCGUAACAAAGGUAAG
rnacentral:rRNA from 1 species